ACUUAUGUAGCUUAACGGGUAGAGCGAAACAUUAAAGCUGUUUAAGGUAUAGGUUCAAAUCUUAUCAUAAGUU
rfam:Stachybotrys chartarum IBT 40288 unplaced genomic scaffold C40866, whole genome shotgun sequence.